rnacentral:rRNA from 1 species
UGCGGCGGCCAUGGCCCAGGGGAGACGCCCGGUCCCAUUCCGAAGCACGGCGCUGGUACCAUGGCACGAGAGGACAUGGGAGAGUAGCACACCGCCGCAA